rnacentral:rRNA from 1 species
UACGUAGGGUGCGAGCGUUAAUCGGAAUUACUGGGCGUAAAGCGUGCGCAGGCGGUUUUGUAAGCCAGAUGUGGAAUCCCCCGGGCUUAACCUGGGAAUGGCAUUUGGGACUGCAAGGCUUGAGUUUUGGCAGAGGAGACUGGAAUUCCUGGUGUAGCGGUGGAAUGCGCAGAUAUCAGGAGGAACACCGGUGGCGAAAGGCGGGGUCUCUGGGGCAGUAACUGACGCUGAGAAGCGAAAAGCGUGGGGGAGCGAAAC